rnacentral:rRNA from 1 species
CAAUAGCGUAUAUUUAAGUUGUUGCAGUUAAAAAGCUCGUAGUUGGAUUUCGGUUGAGAACGGCCGGUCCGCCGUUUGGUGUGCACUGGCUGGUUUCAACUUCCUGUGGAGGACGCGCUCUGGCUUCACGGCUGGACGCGGAGUCUACGUGGUUACUUUGAAAAAAUUAGAGUGUUCAAAGCGGGCUUACGCUUGAAUAUUUCAGCAUGGAAUAACACUAUAGGACUCCUGUCCUAUUUCGUUGGUCUCGGGACGGGAGUAAUGAUUAAGAGGAACAGUUGGGGGCAUUCGUAUUUCAUUGUCAGAGGUGAAAUUCUUGGAUUUAUGAAAGACGAACUUCUGCGAAAGCAUUUGCCAAGGAUGUUUUCAUUAA